GAGUUUGAUCUUGGCUCAGAUUGAACGCUGGCGGCAGGCCUAACACAUGCAAGUCGAACGGUAACAGGAAACAGCUUGCUGUUUCGCUGACGAGUGGCGGACGGGUGAGUAAUGUCUGGGAAACUGCCUGAUGGAGGGGAUAACUACUGGAAACGGUAGCUAAUACCGCAUAACGUCGCAAAGACCAAAGAGGGGGACCUUCGGGCCUCUUGCCAUCGGAUGUGCCCAGAUGGGAUUAGCUAAGUAGGUGGGGUAACGGCUCACCUAGGCGACGAUCCCUAGCU
rnacentral:rRNA from 1 species